UGUUUUAUGGCAAAAUUACCCCCUAGCAUGUACUUUUGCUUGUGGCUGCUGAAAUCUCAAAGUUCUUAAUUAUUUGUUAUUUCUUCCCUCCUCAGAAGAGUUCUUCAGAGCAUUACAGGCAACAGUCCUUUCCUGUAGAUUCUGUUCAAACUCAGAAGCAAUCAGAAUGUAGUCAUCAAAUGUACUGGCUGCAGUCAAAUAAAGGUUACAGCAGUCUUUAUAUACAGUGAGUAGCUGUUUUUGUCUGGGCUGAGGAGAGAAAGGGAAUGCUGAGGAAGUCUUGGAGCCUGAAUAAUUCUGAAGUCCUGAAGCAGGUGAAGGAAGGCCUGGGCUAGCUCAGGUCUGUUGGGAGUUUGCUGUACAAGGAAGAUGAGAGAAGAAAUUCAGCAUUGUAACUCUUGCUGUGUAAUUGAGGCUGGACAUGGGAGUGGCUGAGGUGAAAGACAUGAGCUCUGUCUGGAUUCACUUCACUGGAUGAAACUCUUUUCAGAAUAAAACAUGACUGAUUCUUUGUCUUUGUCUGCACUUGUCUUUGUGCAGAUGCUGCUGUAAAACUGCAAACUGCAAAAUGAUCCUCUUUCUUGCAUGAUGACACCUUGUUUGGUUUUGUGAGCCUGGUUAUCUUCUUAGGGAUUUUUUUUCCCCAUUCAGACAGUCUGACUCUCAGGAGCCCACCUUUCCCAGUGGUGUCCAUCCUCAUUUACCUUCUGUCCCUUGGUAUUGUGCAUGGACAGAGGCA